UUAACAUGGGCAUUUAAAAAAGACUCUUCUGUUUUAUUUGUUAUUUUUUUUUUUACUGAUCUUUGCACAUUUAAAAACCAUUGUGAACCUGGAGAUAUUAGAUAUCAUUAAUCCAGUCUUCUCAUGACUAAAUGAUAUUGUGAGAUUUCUCUCCCUGGAGAUAUUUUUAAAUGUCUUUUACAAUCACAGGAAGUCAGAGCUGGAAAAGAACUGAGAACAGUGUGAGGCCAGCAGAUGAGGAACUUGAGAUUCUGGAGAGGUGAUGGCUGGAUCACACGAAGAGAGUGAUAAGAUCUCAGGUCUCUGGACUCCCCAGACUGGGGGUCUUUGUGUAGACAAGGCCACUUCCAAUUUUGCUUCAUAAUUGUUACCCAAAGACAGCUAGGAAUUUCUCAGAGAAUCUGUGAACGUGCUUGUCAUGAAACAUUAAUCCAUGCCAGGACUUAAAGUAACAUAGAUCUAGCCAAAAUGUACCUUGGGCAAGAGCCAUGAAUCCCAGUGGGAGUGGGCUGGGGUAAGUAGUUAUAUUAAUAAAACCUUUCCGCAUGAACCGUAUGAGUCAGAUUCAAUAUAUGCAUACCGUCAAGAAGUUACACACAGAGGGAGUUUAAUUUUAGUUCAAACAGAUCACCCAUUUGCAUCUCCCUUCAGAAAUAAAGGGGGUGGAAGUUGUUAUGUCUUUCAAAUUAGAUUGAUGGCUUUAAAAGGGAAAACAAUCUGGAGGAGGGUCCUUUUCCUUGUGGACUGCUGCCUUGGGUGCCAUCUACUUCCAGCGGGGCUUGGACUUCCUGGCCAGUAGAGGUGGACGUGGAGAGUGUGCCUUUUCUCCAUGUUGCCUUAGCUGUGCUCAGGAAGCUCCCCAUCUGCCCCUUUCCUCUGUGAGUACUGCCCCAGGCUCUUUCCUGAGGCCUGUUGCUUCAGGCUGGUUGACAGCCAGGCAAGGGUGGCUGUGGCUGUGGGCCUAUGGGAGCUUCCUGUGCUGGUUGGUAUACAGAAUUUUCCUUAAGGAGAAGGAGAACCAAAGGAGUCAGCCAUCGUCCUGCUCCUUUGAGCUCCCUUCUGCUCACAUCUCUCCAGGAAGGCCUGCAGCAAGAAAAGAGGCUCAGGGAUGGGCCUUGACGACUUCAGAAAUAAUUCUGCCGCCCACACUCGGGGCUUGUUCCUGCUGCAUCCAUGUUAUCUCCACACCACCCUCUGCUUCUUGAGGUCCCAAGCAUGGGAGUCUGUGGGCAAAUGAGGAGGAUAGAGAAGGUGGUGUAUUACAGCCUCCUGUGGGCUUUGUGUCUGCUGACUGUGGGGACCCCAAUGGAGCCUUGUGGGAGAAACAGCCCACCAUUCCUGGGACAUUCCCAGUCUAAUAGGGAGAUGAUAAUCACCUGUGUGGUGGUCGCCUGUGCAAAGCAGUGCCUGAGCUGGGGGUCGCUUUGUUACCUCCUGGGUGCCAGUGCCAGUCCUAGGGAAAUGCAGCAGUGAGAUGAAGCUGGAUCUGAGCUGAGACAGGGAUUCUGUCCUCUCUGGACAGGCCAUUGUCCAUGAGAGGCAUUCAUGUGUUGAUUUGCAAAGUGCUCCUGAGCUCCUCUUUGGGGAUUUUUGUCCGGAGGGUAUCUCCAUUCCUGGAAUUCACUGAAAGCUCCCUGACAUGCCCUCUGCAACUCAUCAUGUUAAUGGGAAGGGAGGGCUGAGGUUCAGCCAGGAUGCCCCACCCCAGGAGCGUCAGGAUGGCUGUAUUGAUUGCAGAGUCUGAUGGAAGGUUACGGCCAUGGAUGGGGGUUCCCUGAUAGUGGAGGAAUAAAGCUCUGGCCCCAGAGCCUGUCUUCUUAAUUGGGCUCCCAGCCAGGGUUUCCUUAUCAAUUUCCUACUCCCCUGAGGCCUUCAUGCACACCCAACUAGAUCUGGCUUUCCUAACACCACUUAAUCAACCCCCCCCUCCAGCUGCUUAGAAACCCUUAAUGUGGGUCCUCUUGGCCUGGACUCAAGGCCCUGUAGGAUCAGGUGCAUAUCCACAAACAAUUGCCUUUACAACCUUAUCAAUGAAGAAGCCUCGCCUUUGCAGCAAAGCCAUUGUCUAGUCAGAUGGGGCCCACUCACAGUCCUCUGAAAAUUCCACCUUCGUUUGUAUCUUGCUGCCUUUCCCCAGGUUGUCCCCGUGUCUUCUGCUUCUUCACCCACUCAUAUCCAUUUCCUCCUUCAGUACCUGGCUCUUUGGCCUCCUCUGUUCAUCUAAGCAUACAAUUGCCCAUUUCACUAUUGUGUACUAAGUCCCCAGAGGCCAGGAACCCCAGUAACCUGCAGUGUGAGGCUGGGUGUGAUUUGAACACAGACUACUUCCUGGGUGAAUGGGGAGAGAUGGAGACUUGAAAUAAUGAACCCUCCAUGGGCCACUUAGUAUUAUUUCCUUGUUGACCUAGUGUCUGUACAUCCAUUUGCAGUGAGGUCUGGAAUUGUUUAAUGGGGCAGAGGAGAUGGAGGCAGAUGCCUCAGAAGUUUUUCAACAAAGCAGUGGUCAAGAGUAGGGUUGAAAUGGAGAAGGUGCUAGAGGCAAAAACAAACAAACAAAAACAAAGAAAACAAGAAACUGGAUUUAACAAGCCUUGUUGAUGGAAGGUGGGUGUACUGGGUUGAAUUAAGUGUCUGCUGAAAUUUGAUGUCUACCCCAAACCUCAGAAUAUGAGCUUUUUUGGAAAUAGGGCCUUUGCAGAUGUAAUUAGUUAGGGAGAGAUGGGGUUGUACUAAAGCCAACAACUGGUGUUCUUGUAAGAUGAGAGAGGGAGUUGUAGAGAGGAAGGCUGUAUGAAGAGGCGGGCAGAGAUGAGUGAUGGAGCUACAGGCCCAAGGGUAUCUAGGAUUCCUGGGUUACAACAGAAGCUGGGAAGAGCCAAGGAUGGAAUCUUCUAUAGAGCCUUCAGACUUUGAUUCUGGACUUUUGGGCUGAACUGCGAGAGAAUACAUUUCUGUUGUUUUAAGCCAUCCAGUUUGUGCUGAUUUGUCUUGGCAGCCCUAGGAAAGGAAUACAGUGGGGUUCAACAUACAUCUGGGGCAUAUGUAUCAGAAAUUCAAGGCAUCACAUUCUUGGAUGACAGAUUAUCUGUGUGUGUGUGCAGCACAUUGUGAUUCCAUUUAUGGUAAGAAGUUUGCACUUGUCAUUUGUGAUGCAGUUUUGCCAAGAACUACACAGUAACAAAGUCACUCUUGGAAGCCCUUAGUCACCUGAAUGGAGGUGGUCUGUGAAGCAUUUUGGCAUCUUGAGUGUGAUGGGGAGCCAUGGGCAGAGCCAUCUCUGCGAGGUACAGGAAGGAGAAGUCACACCAGGCAGGACCUCAUGGUCUCAUUUUUGUGCAGAAGAAAUCUGGUUAAAAUGGUUAUCAGGAAUAGGGACUUCCUCUCUUCCUGUGUGCUGGGAAGAGGGCAGAGAGAAGGGUGAUGGAGAGUGUGAAGAAGUGGAUGGGAUGUGGGUUUGCUUUGAUGCAAGUGAAAAAAAUAAAAAGAGGAAAAAAAGUGCUAGGCAACCCAAGUUGGCUUUUGCAAUGAGUACCAUGUAAAAGAACUGCCUUCUUUUUCUGGGCUACCAGGCAGCUCUGGCUGUCUGUCCCCAAAGCAGCGAGAAUCCCACAAAGCAGAAGGUGGGACAAGAGACAGCUCUGCUCUUGGAGGAUGUCCUUAGGCAUCAUUGCAGAGCCUUCUCACAUCCCCUUCUCAGUGUUAGAGGUCGUGAGGUGUCAUGGGAUGCAUGCUGGAAGCCUGGCCUGGUUCCACUCAUUGUCACUGUUCUCUUUGAGCAAGUCUGUCUCCCUCUUGGAGUCUUGGUCUUCCUCCUUUAAUAGGAUGCAUAUGACGUUGGUGUGAACAUUGAGGAAGAACUUUGUGAACCUUAAGAUACUAGGUAAUAUUGUGUCUUCGAGUCCUCCCUAGAACUGAGCAGGAUGAUAGGGUGGAUUCCUCAUCCUUUGGGGUUCUGGGGUUGCUCACAGACUGUGUGAAAGGUAAUGCAGGUGGGGAUUAUGAAAAAGUUCUGGAGAUGGUCAUGUUGGUUGUACAACAAUGUGAAUGUACUUAAUGCCACCAAACUGUAUAUUUUAAAACGGUUAAAAUGCUAAACUUUUCGUUAUAUGUAUAUUUUACCACAAACAAAAAAUCACAAGCACCUUCCUCCCCAAAACAAAGUAAUGCAGAUAUCAGACAAAGCUGAUAUUCAAGUAAAUUUCACACUCUGGGUGUCAUGGGUGAUUAUUGCAAUUUCUGGUAAACACUCACUAUUUACAGUGAUUGUGAGGAAUUAGCCCUGUUUACUAGGACUCAAUUAACGCAAUAUAUUAUCCUUUCUUUGGGAUGGCUUUAGAAGUUCCCUUGGGGGAGAGUAAGUUAGAUCACAGCGAUUAGAUUGAAAUGGACCGCAAACCGUGCUUACUAGCCUAUGAUCUGAGAUCACCUCGUUGGCUCUAUCUCUGUCCCCAAGGUUCUGCUCCCUCCUCGGCACUACUCUUUCCUCUUUCUUCCUUCCCUUUGGCUCACUAUUUACUUUUUAUCCCGUGGAUGGGAUAAAGGAUGGACCUGGGUUUGCAUCUGUGGCACAGAUACAUGCGAGUGUCAUGUGGCCUCAUGCACUUCACCAAAAACGUCCCGUGCUAUCACAGACCCUGGUCCUCUGGCUCAGACUUUGCUCCUAGAAGUGAGAGCUAUUGGCACACUUCCAAGAGCAUUUCAUUCUCCAGGCCUGUGGGCAUCUACAUCAAAGCCUCACAGCGUCACCUCCCAGUUUUCUACUUUCUCAAGCCCUGAGUUGCUUCUGAAGGUCAGAACCACAGGUACCACCUGAUGGCCUCUCUGCUUCUCAGGAGGCCCCCUCAGGCUGAAGGCCCAGAAAAUCACUCAGAAAGGGGCUGAAAGAUGGAUAUCAUUUGGAUUGAGAAAUUGUUUCUUUUAGGCAUCAAAUAAAAUGUUUAAAGUUUCAUGUUCAGAUAUUAGGACCUGUCCUGUGCCUCCUCCAGGUCAUCUCUGACAGUGACGCAGAACUCUGUUGAAUGCAGGACUGCCUGUGGCGCUGGGCGAUGUGCGUCGUGCACAGAUGUCAGAUGUCCUGGCUGCACGUGUGUCUGUGUUCAGGGCAGGUAGCCCAUCUACAAAGAGAGAGUAGGGUGGGAAAACUCAGUGCCUUCCUUUUGGGCUGCUUCUUGUUGAAUUUUGCUCCACAGGUUGGAGGACAAGAUCCAGUCCUCCUAACUAGGCCUUUUAGAGUCUGGGUGGCCUGGAUGCUCGCUGGAGCCUCGGAGGCUCCAAAACAAGGAGCUCACUGCCUCAUGCAGUCACAGAGGCAGGAGUAAGAGCCAGUGUGAAGGUGCAGGAGUUGGAAGGAAAUUGGAAAUCAGCUCCUUGUGGUCCUUCACAUUGAGAUUCGCAAAGGAAAAUGAGAUGUCUCCUCACUGAAAGCAGGAUGGAGCCUCCUUCGUGCCCAAGAUGCCCUUCCUCACUGCAGGUGAUUCCAAAGGAGAGCAAGAAGCAUGCCCUCCAAAUACCACCAAAGGAGAUAAGCGUGCCUAAGGAUGAGCGCACGUUCGUGUGUGGGAUGUGUCUGCUGCAUAAACAAUUCUUCAUGAGUACGAGAAGGUGCCUGAUGGAGUGAACACCGGUGCCUCCUUCUCACACUCCAAAUCCCCAGUCCCUGCUGCAGCUGUGUGCAAAAUCACAGCAUCCUCACCAGGACUGUACAGGGAACAAAGGCAAACCACCCACAGUCCCCUCCACUGUAUUCAAAACACGUCAUAAAUAAGAUGACAUUUGAAGAUGAGAAGGGUUUAAAAAAAAAGCUCUGGCAUGACUGUAUGAGUGCCUAAAAGUGGGUGUUGGCUAGAGAUUUCAUGUUCUCACGAGCCUGGGGUUUGGAAGCACUCUUAGCACACCUCUUUAGAGAGAAGAUGUAAAGACAUGAGCAAUGGACGCAUCCAUGAAGAGCAAGCAGCUCCUGCAUGACUUGCCGAUGGAGGGUUGACCACUGCCACAGAGGGGAGGGACCAUGGAUUCCAUCGUAGGACACUUGAACCAUCUUUUGUGUUUCCCGAAUCAUUAAAAAUAGAAAGGAACCACCAUGAAUGGAGUAGAUGAAGUCUUCCAGAGAAGAGUGGCAAAGUUUGUUCUGACAAAUCACCUAGCAAGCGAUGUGAAAGCAGUCUGGAGAACGAUGCCCUCAUCUAAUGCUGCAUCAGUGUGUGCCUCCUGUAGCCUAAAUAUGUUGUUGACAUUAAAAUAGAUUUUUGUUAGUGUUCUUUAUAGAUAGAAAUAGAGAAAAAUAGGUUCUUAGACACAGUGAAAAAUAGGUUUGAGAAUUGGUGCUGCAUAAGGAGUAAAAAGAAAUGAUAUAAAGGUAGAAGAAGAAAUGUAUAAAUAUUACCACAGGACACUGAAUUUUAGGGCCUUUACUCAGGGAUUGGGAAAAAUUGGAUAAGUUUAUAAAAGACAUUGAGACGCUGUAGAAAGAAACUAGAUAAUGUAGAGGAAUAAUGUCCUUUUGGGAGUUUAAGACAAAACAAAUAAGUUUUCAAGAAAGGAGUAUCUCAGGAUCUUAAAGAACUAUAAAGUGUAGUUCCAUAGCUUAGAAAGAUAACCCAUUUCUGGGAACCUUUAUCUCUAUUCCAGACAGUGGGCAUGUUCUUGGUCUGAUCAGGAAGAUCCUGAGACAAUUUCAGAGGAUUUCUGGCUGAAGAAAACAUACUGAUGACCAUCCUGAUGAGCUUGGGCCCUUUAACAUCAGAAGUCCCCACCCCUGGGCUGGGUGGCCCUUGGCCAUGGUCCUCAUAUUUUAACCUCCAGGCUAGCUCUGGGCCAACCUCCAAUUCUGUGCCCCUCCUUCUGAGCUUCCCUGCACACAGUCUUGCUCCUGGGUCACCUGACUGAAUUGUAAUACCUGAGAACUUGCUCCCAUCUCUGCAUGACCAAGCCUUGGCCACACCACUAUUUCUGUUGAUUUAGUUGCAACAUCUGCCCCCUGCUGGGGUGGUCAUAGCUUUUGUAGCUUACAGAUAUCCAGCCUGAACCCAAUCUCUUCUGUUCUGAGGAGCAAGAAGCACUGUCUUUUGGAUUCACGGCAGAACUCACACACUUACAUGAGCAAAGUCAGUUUCCAUAUCUGUCACUGCAUCCAUACUGGAAGUGGCCUUGGUCCAGCCAUUCCUUACCUCUGUUUCAGAUAAACUCAGCUGGCAAGUAAAAUCUUGGUGCUCUUCCUUCAACUUGUCAAGAUGAAAAUGAAGCGAAAGACUUUAUCGAGAAAUGGAGAACCACAUGGCUGGUCCUUGCUGCUGCAUGAACCUUGGAUCUUGAGCUCAAAGAUGAUAGUGUACAUGGAGGUGGCACAUCUGCUACAUUUGCCUGGCACACCUGUAAAAUAGGCAGCAUAUUUCAGCCUUCAGUGUUAGGUUAGUGUUCCCAAAUAUAGACUGAAAAGAUCCUCAGGUGUUCAAUUCUAACAUAGAGCGAGGAUUCUGUCCUGCAAAUGCAUCCUGCAGCAUUGGGAAAGGAUCCAGUCUUCUGUGUCUCCUGCUUCAAAUCUUCCAUCUUCUAGAGGCUAUAGAAAGAUGUGGGGUUUACAUCUUGAAAUAUGUGCCUUGAACAAGAAUAGCUAACAUGUAGAAAACUUGUCUUAUUUUGAACAACUUCUCAGUUUACAGAAGCCUAUGGAAAUAUCAAAAUAAAGCAUCAGAGGAAGCAAUAAUCUUAGAGGUCAUUAACUAAGGGGAUAACCUGCAAAAUAAAGUUCUUUGUGGCCCAAA